UAACAAUAGGAACCUCUAAUGCACAGGCGAA
rnacentral:piRNA from 1 species